rnacentral:rRNA from 1 species
ACGGAAGGCAGCAGUGGGGAAUAUUGGACAAUGGGGGAAACCCUGAUCCAGCGACGCCGCGUGAGUGAAGAAGUAUUUCGGUAUGUAAAGCUCUAUCAGCAGGGAAGAUAAUGACGGUACCUGACUAAGAAGCCCCGGCUAACUACGUGCCAGCAGCCGCGGUAAUACGUAGGGGGCAAGCGUUAUCCGGAUUUACUGGGUGUAAAGGGAGCGUAGGCGGCCAGACAAGUCAGGUGUGAAAACCCGGGGCUUAACCCCGGGACUGCACUUGAAACUGCCUGGCUGGAGUGCAGGAGAGGCAAGUGGAAUUCCUAGUGUAGCGGUGAAAUGCGUAGAUAUUAGGAAGAACACCGGUGGCGAAGGCGACUUGCUGGACUGAGACUGACGCUGAGGCUCGAAAGCGUGGGGAGCAAACAGGAUUAGAUACCCUGGUA